rnacentral:rRNA from 1 species
CCUACGGGAGGCUGCAGUGGGGAAUCUUGCGCAAUGGGCGAAAGCCUGACGCAGCAACGCCGCGUGGGGGAUGAAGGCUUUCGGGUUGUAAACCCCUUUCAGCAGGGACGAAUCAAGACGGUACCUGCAGAAGAAGCCCCGGCUAACUACGUGCCAGCAGCCGCGGUAACACGUAGGGGGCAAGCGUUGUCCGGAUUUAUUGGGCGUAAAGAGCUCGUAGGCGGCUCGAUAAGUCGGGUGUCAAAUCCUCAGGCUCAACCUGGGGCACCACCCGAUACUGUCGUGGCUAGAGUCCGGUAGGGGAGCGUGGAAUUCCUGGUGUAGCGGUGAAAUGCGCAGAUAUCAGGAGGAACACCAGCGGCGAAGGCGGCGCUCUGGGCCGGAACUGACGCUGAGGAGCGAAAGCGUGGGUAGCAAACAGGCUUAGAUACCCGUGUAGUC